AAGGAAGAACAUCAAUACAAGUUGCGCUGCAAUGUCACUUUGGUGGCUUUGAUUGAAGAUAGAGACCCUUGGCACUACAGAGAAACGCUUUCUCCCAAGCUAUCAGCAAGCACUAGUGCUGGCAGCUGCUGCUACACUCUGAUCCUAAGCCAGUAUCAACUUGAUCGACUGCUGUUUCACCUUCUGUUUUCCAGUGUCGUCUCCCUUAUGUUAACUGAAAAAAUAUCAUCAAUAUGCAUUUUCCAC